GGAGGGUUGGCCGAGUGGUUGAAGGCGCAUGAUUGGAAAUCAUGUAAACGUGUAAGCGUUUCGAGGGUUCAAAUCCCUCAUCCUCCGCCA
rnacentral:tRNA from 1 species